UGGGCACCCCCAGUCUUUCCAUCCUCCUCAUUCGUCUAGGGGCACCCGAAUCCACUAUUCCUUAUUUCCCCUAUCACUCAGGCACUGGCAGGGUCCUUUGCUACUCCUGUUGGCCGCCGCGGCUCCAAAGCGAGAUGUGCCUGAGACAGGUUUGACCAGGCAACUGAAAAGACAUCCCUAAGGGAAGACAAAGCAAAGGUAUGAAAGGAACACAUGUCCCUGACUGACUAGGAGGAACAGAGCUGCCUGCUGUCUGGAACCGCUUCCUCCCAGACUAAGUGAGAAAUAAACUUCUGUUUUCUAUAU
rnacentral:lncRNA from 1 species